rnacentral:pre_miRNA from 1 species
UCUAGCAAUAUAUUUGCAGGUUUUAGGUCUAAGUGAAAAGUAUCGAUCUCUGUGAAUAUAUUGUAAACCUUCACAAAUUCCCUUGAUUAUUUCAUAGCGCUAUUUUAAAAUAAAUGAUUUGUAUUGGAAAAACCAAGUUGUCCAAUAUACAUAUUCAUGACUUGAAAAAGUAAAAAAAUACAGUCAUUGUAUAUUGUGUUUGACUUAGAAAGAAAGAUGAAAAAGUUAAACAAAAAGAUGUGAAGGCAGAUGAAUGCUUUGCUUAUGCAUGAAUUCAUAUUGAUAAAGCGCUAUUGAAUGAUCAAGGAAUUUGUGAGGUUUACAUUAUCUUUGCAAGAGUUGUAUUGUUCAGUUAGACCUAGACAUGCAAGUAUAUUUCUAGG